CAGCCGCCGCGGUAACACGAAGGGUGCAAGCGUUACUCGGAAUUACUGGGCGUAAAGCGUGCGUAGGUGGUGGUUUAAGUCCGUUGUGAAAGCCCUGGGCUCAACCUGGGAAUUGCAGUGGAUACUGGGUCACUAGAGUGUGGUAGAGGAUAGUGGAAUUUCCGGUGUAGCAGUGAAAUGCGUAGAGAUCGAGAGGAACAUCAGUGGCGAAGGCGGCCAUCUGGGACAACACUGACGCUGAGGCACGAAAGCGUGGGGAGCAAACAGGAUUAGAUACCCCAGUAGUCCCUGUCUCUUAUAC
rnacentral:rRNA from 1 species